GAUGAACGCUGGCGGCGUGCCUAAUACAUGCCAGUCGAGCGAACAGACGAGGAGCUUGCUCCUCUGACGUUAGCGGCGGACGGGUGAGUAACACGUGGAUAACCUACCUAUAAGACUGGGAUAACUUCGGGAAACCGGAGCUAAUACCGGAUAAUAUAUUGAACCGCAUGGUUCAAUAGUGAAAGACGGUUUUGCUGUCACUUAUAGAUGGAUCCGCGCCGCAUUAGCUAGUUGGUAAGGUAACGGCUUACCAAGGCAACGAUGCGUAGCCGACCUGAGAGGGUGAUCGGCCACACUGGAACUGAGACACGGUCCAGACUCCUACGGGAGGCAGCAGUAGGGAAUCUUCCGCAAUGGGCGAAAGCUUGACGGAGCAACGCCGCGUGAGUGAUGAAGGGCUUCGGAUCGUAAAACUCUGUUAUUAGGGAAGAACAAAUGUGUAAGUAACUAUGCACGUCUUGACGGUACCUAAUCAGAAAGCCACGGCUAACUACGUG
rnacentral:rRNA from 1 species